GACGAACGCUGGCGGCGUGCUUAACACAUGCAAGUCGAACGGUGAAGCGCCUUCCUUUUUGGUGGGUGUGGAUGAGUGGCGAACGGGUGAGUAACACGUGAGUAACCUGCCCCCUUCUUCUGGAUAACCGCAUGAAAGUGUGGCUAAUACGGGAUAUUCUGGGUCUGUCGCAUGAUGGGUCUGGGAAAGAUAUUGUUUCGGUGGGGGAUGGGCUCGCGGCCUAUCAGCUUGUUGGUGGGGUGAUGGCCUACCAAGGCGGUGACGGGUAGCCGGCCUGAGAGGGUGGACGGUCACACUGGGACUGAGACACGGCCCAGACUCCUACGGGAGGCAGCAGUGGGGAAUAUUGCACAAUGGGCGCAAGCCUGAUGCAGCGACGCCGCGUGAGGGAUGGAGGCCUGCGGGUUGUGAACCUCUUUCGCCAGUGAAGCAGGCCUGCCCCGUUUGUGGGUGGGUUGACGGUAGCUGGAGAAGAAGCGCCGGCUAACUACGUG
rnacentral:rRNA from 1 species